rnacentral:rRNA from 1 species
GACGAACGCUGGCGGCGUGCUUAACACAUGCAAGUCGAACGGUGAAGCUCCAGCUUGCUGGAGUGGAUCAGUGGCGAACGGGUGAGUAACACGUGAGCAACCUGCCCCAGACUCUGGAAUAAGCGCUGGAAACGGCGUCUAAUACUGGAUACGAGAUCAAGCCGCAUGGUGAUGGUCUGGAAAGUUUUGCGGUUGGGGAUGGGCUCGCGGCCUAUCAGCUUGUUGGUGAGGUAGUGGCUUACCAAGGCGACGACGGGUAGCCGGCCUGAGAGGGCGACCGGCCACACUGGGCCUGAGACACGGCCCAGACUCCUACGGGAGGCAGCAGUGGGGAAUAUUGCACAAUGGGCGAAAGCCUGAUGCAGCGACGCCGCGUGAGGGAUGACGGCCUUCGGGUUGUAAACCUCUUUCAGCAGGGAAGAAGCGAAAGUGACGGUACCUGCAGAAGAAGCACCGGCUAACUACGUG